UACGGGGGGGGCAAGCGUUGUUCGGAAUCACUGGGCUUAAAGGGCGCGUAGGCGGGCUGUCAAGUCUGGGGUGAAAUGCCGCGGCUCAACCGUGGAACUGCCUUAGAUACUGACGGCCUCGAGGGAGGUGAGGGGCGUGCGGAACUGUAGGUGGAGCGGUGAAAUGCGUUGAUAUCUACAGGAACUCCGGUGGCGAAAGCGGCGCGCUGGACCUCUUCUGACGCUGAGGCGCGAAAGCUAGGGGAGCAAACGGG
rnacentral:rRNA from 1 species